UGGGGAAUAUUGCACAAUGGGGGAAACCCUGAUGCAGCGACGCCGCGUGAACGAAGAAGGUAUUCGUAUCGUAAAGUUCUGUCCUAUGGGAAGAUAAUGACAGUACCAUAGAAGAAAGCUCCGGCUAAAUACGUGCCAGCAGCCGCGGUAAUACGUAUGGAGCGAGCGUUGUCCGGAAUUAUUGGGCGUAAAGGGUACGCAGGCGGUUUAAUAAGUCGAAUGUUAAAGAUCGGGGCUCAACCCCGCAAAGCAUUGGAAACUGAUAAACUUGAGUAGUGGAGAGGAAAGUGGAAUUCCUAGUGUAGUCGUGAAAUACGUAGAUAUUAGGAGGAAUACCAGUAGCGAAGGCGACUUUCUGGACACAAACUGACGCUGAGGUACGAAAGCGUGGGGAGCAAACAGG
rnacentral:rRNA from 1 species